GACGGACGCUGGCGGCGUGCUUAACACAUGCAAGUCGAGCGAUGAAGCACCUUCGGGUGUGAAUUAGCGGCGAACGGGUGAGGAACACGUGAGAAAUCUGCCUUCAACUCUGGGAUAACUCCGGGAAACCGGGGCUAAUACCGGAUAUGAGCCUUGAUCGCAUGAUCGGGGCUGGAAAGUUUUUCGGUUGAAGAUGAUCUCACGGCCUAUCAGCUUGUUGGUGAGGUAAUGGCUCACCAAGGCGACGACGGGUAGCCGGCCUGAGAGGGCGACCGGCCACACUGGGACUGAGACACGGCCCAGACUCCUACGGGAGGCAGCAGUGGGGAAUAUUGGGCAAUGGAGGAAACUCUGACCCAGCGACGCCGCGUGAGGGAUGAAGGCCUUCGGGUUGUAAACCUCUUUCAGUAGGGAAGAAGCGAAAGUGACGGUACCUACAGAAGAAGCACCGGCUAACUAUGUGCCAGCCGCCGCCGUAA
rnacentral:rRNA from 1 species